UCUCCGUUGGUGAACCAGCGGAGGGAUCAUUACCGAGUUUACAACUCCCAAACCCAAUGUGAACCAUACCAAACUGUUGCCUCGGCGGGGUCACGCCCCGGGUGCGUCGCAGCCCCGGAACCAGGCGCCCGCCGGAGGGACCAACCAAACUCUUUCUGUAGUCCCCUCGCGGACGUUAUUUUUACAGCUUUGAGCAAAAAUUCAAAAUGAAUCAAAACUUUCAACAACGGAUCUCUUGGUUCUG
rnacentral:misc_RNA from 1 species